CGGUUUGACAGAAAUGACAGCUGAAGGUCAAUGUUGAACUUAUUUUGUUUUUGCAUACAUUUCCACUAUUUUACGAAACGCUGUCGGUGUGUUCGAAACGAUAGUGAGGGUUGGGCAGAGUGUGCUGCUACAUAUUUCAGCGUUAUUGCUGUGUGUGUGUGUGUGUCCAACCUAUUAUAUAGUUGCAGCCACUCAGUGUUGCCAACUCCUCAGUAAGGAAAGUAGCUAUUGGCUGUUCUAAAAGUUGCUAGAAGUCGCAGAAUGAUGUCAUCGCCUAAUUAGCAUAAUUGGGCAUGUGCAUGUAAUUGUGAUGGACGCUGUAGGAGAGGGGAAUAACAUCGUGGGAGAGACAAAGUGAGUAAAAAACACCCUAAAUAUGUUUAGAACUACAAAAUAACUUUCUUCUGUCGAUUUUUUUUUUAUUUAUUUUUUUUAUUUUUUUUUAUGUCACAAUUCCUACACUCCUCCUUUAACCGGGCUUGGGACCUGCAAAAGUGACCCAAAAGAGACACUGGCGGAGUUACUUAAGUUUUUUAUUUGAUUUUUUUAUUUGAUUUAAUUUUUAAAUUUAUAAUUUUUUAAAUUUUUCUUAUUCAUUUGGUUUGGUUUUUAACCUUAUGGUCCACUUAGGGGCCUACAACAAGUAACAGUAAAACAUUAACAUUUUUAACCAUAAAAUGUUUGACAUUUUUUUGUAUACAAUCAACAUUAACAAUCUAAAUGAGACAAUAGACAAAACUGUCAAUGGCAAUGUGAGAAAAUGAUGGUAACUAGUCUGGCCCUAAUUCAGGUUAAUUGUUUUUUUUCCAGACCCCCCUCCAUACACACACAGGCUGUGCUGGCUCACAGAAAGAGUGGGUCAUCGUCAUUUUGGUCAAGGCUCUCUAUGGCAGGUUCAGCAACUGAGGGAGCUGACUUAAAUGAGUAAGCAGCUGAUGUGCCAAAAAGCUGCAAAACAUUAUCAGGCAGCUGGUGCUCAUAGCAAGCCUCACCAGACAGCUUCAGUCCAUAUCGAAUGUACAAGAGGGAGUUAAGGGUCUGCAAGGACAUCCGAUUUUUAAGUUUGCUUUUUACCACCCUCAUCUGGCUGAAUACUCUCUCGACUUCAGCAUUUGAGUGUGGCAAGGACAACACAGACACAGCAGCCAUGGCAAGGCCAACACAGACACAGCAUCCAUGGCAAGGACAACACAGACACAGCAGCCAUGGCUAGGACAACACAGACACAGCAGCCAUGGUAGGGACAACACAGACACAGCAGCCAUGGUAGGGACAACACAGACACAGCAGCCAUGGCAAGGACAACACAGACACAGCAUCCAUGGCCAGGACAACACAGACACAGCAGCCAUGGCAAGGACAACACAGACACAGCAUCCAUGGCCAGGACAACACAGACACAGCAGCCAUGGCCAGGACAACACAGACACAGCAGCCAUGGCAAGUUCUUGAAACAGGUUGAUAUCAGCUGCAUCCCUGAACUUCCAAAUCUCACUCCAGAAGCUCU
ensembl:lncRNA